UAUUGGUCCUCCCGCAAUAAUAGCGCGUGAAUCUGGUCAGGCCCGGAAGGGAGCAGCCACAGCGUGUGACUUAUGUGCCGGGAUGUGGCUGGUAAGA
rnacentral:SRP_RNA from 1 species